UGCCCCCUCCAUCUGAUCUGCAACGACUUCAUUGCUCAUCAGCAAAGCAGCGCAGGAUAGUGCUUGACAUAUACAGCAAGAUUUAUAGACGAAGUUAUACCUGGAGGUUGCUAUUCAUCAGAUCGUGCCAAAGUACUUCAAGAUGGCUACUGGUUUGUGAUCUGAUUUUUUGAAUGGACUUUCCUAUAUAUGAUAUUGCAAAUAGCACAAGAGAUCUACCCCAGCACCGCUUCCCCAUCUCUGGUGGUUCCUUUGGCUUCCUCCAUGGCUGCUGAGAAGAUGGGUCACCAAUUUGCACCACUGUACCUCAUGGCCAAUUUGCACCAGCAUUAACGAGGUCGCAGCCGAGGCCGUCCGUCGUCGUGCCAGGCUCAAUUUGGAGGACACCAAGGGUCGUAUACCUAUUGAUCUUCUCUCUUGCCCUGUAUCACAGGCUAAUGGGGAUUCUCCCAAUUCAGUUGCAACGGAAGUCUUCAGUUGGGGAAGUGGAUCAAACUAUCAACUGGGAACUGGCAAUGCCCACAUAUUAGAUUCUGCAUGACUGCUUAUCUCUGAAUAUCCGGAUGUCCAAGACGACCAACAUUGUGCCAGGCUAAAGUUUAUGGCGUCCUGAGAUGUAAUCCAUCAGGAGCCGUUUUGAUCGACUAAAGUUUAUUACGUCCAGGUCAUGACACAAACACAUGUGUAGACCCGCCUUGU